ACCCUCAUCUCAGGCUACAGGCUGGUUGGUCAAAGUUGAGAGAGAAGUAGAGGCGAGAUGACUAUUCAAACACGGAGGUGGAUGUCAGAAAAUAUUCUCACUGCUGCUACAGGAAAAUCGGGUUUAGAGGUACGCAUGACUAGCUGUGCCGGGUAACAGCACGGACCACUUGGACUUGCCAUCCCCAGAGAUUUGAAAAAUAUACCAGACUUCACUGUCCAGGAACACUGUGUGCUUAAGACGGGUGUCGGCUCACAGAAACCUAGGGACGUUCUGAAAUUCUUAGAGCCCGUUCCAGGAGCGACGGGGAGUGGAGGCAGGCUGCAGCAUCGUGGUCUUAGCAACGGCCAUUAGGCUGAUCAAAGAGCCUCUGUGUCUCAACAACAAAUUAAGUUCCAACAAUUCCAACCGUUUGCCCUUCUGAGGAUGUUCCUCAGGCUGCAGAGGGACUGUCUCAUCUUUGUGGUUUUCCCAGAGGUGACCACAGAGGAAGCCCACAGUUCGAGCUGGAACGACUCCCACAUAGAUGCUGAUAAACCUUUUUUGGAGCCUCAAAAUGCUGCUGUGUGAUGGCUACGGCUCUUGAAUGUCACCAGCUGGGAAGUUACUACUGUUCUCUUCCCCUGGCAGGAGUGACAGUUGAUAUAUUCACUGAGCAAUUCAGCAGCUGGUCCAAUCAAGUGUGUCAGUUGGGUCCUUCAAGACAGGGUUAAAAGUGUGAAGGAUUUAAAGAUUUAUCUGGAGUAAUACCUGUGAGAUAAAGGGACAAGGAAGGAGUGUGCAGAGAAAGGAAGCCCUCACCAGGAUGCAGCCCUGACGCCUCUGAAAGGAGAGGAGAAAGAAAGAAGACUGGGUAAGGUGAGCCCCAGACAGCGGGACAACUUGGAGAAGUCUCAGCCAGUCCUAUAGGAAGCUCCGCCCAAAGACAGAUGUAGAGAAGUUCGGUACUGGGCGGAAACGACCAGACUCUGUUGCCCUGUUGCCUUCAGGCAUUGGUUUGGGGCUGCCUGAGGAGAACACGGCUUCAGCUUAAACAUUGCAGUGGAUCCUGGAGGCACUGCAGCCAGGGGCUGUCAGCUGACUGUCCUCCUUGCAGCUGAACGGCGCAGGUUUUCUUGAAGGGAGAGCCAAGCGGCACCUCUCCAUGGCUGCCACACAAGGCCUUGCAGUCAGCAGUCAAGUUUCAGCAUCAUCAGCUAUCGGUGAUCUCUGCCGGUGCAGGCAGCGGCUGCCCAACGGUUAGCGCCACAGACACCGUGAAGCAGCGCCUCUGCUCGCGUCUGGAGGGAAUUUGCACGCUGGACUUUUAAGCACUGAUGCAUCAAGGAUCCCACCUUGGAGGCCUAACUUGGGAGAUGCCAACGCGGGUCUCCUUUCUCCCGGACACACCGCUCCUCGCGACAGCUCCCUUCUUUGCAGCGGGCAGCUCUUCUGAGGACCCAGCUGCCCAGACGCACUGCCCCUGAUUCUACCGAACUCAUCUUUCUAUUCCCCAGCGUGGGGCUGGAGAAGAGUGAAGUAGGGGUCUAGGUUGACAAGGCCUCUUCUCGCAGGCGUGUGGAGGAAAGGACAGCCUUCAGAAGGGACUGAAUUACCAGCAGUGGGAACCGUGGUACCUGACACUCGGCCACCAAAUCAGAAAAGCAGGUGACAGCAACAUUUGCCUAAGCCUUCAUAGCUUCUCACAUUUUUCAGGGACUAAUUUUUUAAUUAACACCAUAUAUUUUAUUUAAUUUACUUUUAAAUAUGUUUUUAUUUGUAGAUAACUGUAGGUUCCCAUGCAGUUACUCUCACCCAGUUUCUCCAGGCGUAUCAUCUUGCAAACACAGAUGAUAAUCCCGCAGUCAGGACGUGGAUGCUGACACAGUGCACCCAUCGUGUUCACAUCCCCCAGUUGGCGUGUGUGCGUAUUUCGUUCUACGUAGUUUUGUCACAUGUUCGCAUUAACGUGUCCACCACCACAGUCAAGAUACCAAACAUUUCCAUGUCGCCCAGGGUCCCUCCUGCUGCCCUUUUAUAACCACCCCCACCAC